UACGUAGGUGGUAAGCGUUGUCCGGAAUUACUGGGGGUAAAGCGCGUGUAGGCGGCAGGCCAAGUCUGCGGUGAAAGCGCCCGGCUCAACUGGGCGAGGUCCGUGGAAACUGGUCAGCUGGAGGACGGUAGAGGCGAGUGGAAUUCCCGGUGUAGUGGUGAAAUGCGUAGAGAUCGGGAGGAACACCUGUGGCGAAGGCGGCUCGCUGGGCCGGUCCUGACGCUGAGACGCGAAGGCGUGGGGAGCGAACGGG
rnacentral:rRNA from 1 species